rnacentral:lncRNA from 1 species
ACUUUUGUACAAAAUUUACGAGCAUUGAGGAUAAGGCUACUGAGUAAUGUUUCUUCAAGACAUGUCGAAGAUUAAAUUCUUCGUUUUAUGGACCAAUAUCAAACUCUGUGCUUUAAACUUUUGACAACAUGGCAGCAUGUUGACUAAAUUGCUUUGCAAGUAGAAAGUUUCCAACAGGUAACUUGAAAUCAGUAGAACAUCAUCUCUAUAGAUUUUCAUAGCUGCAUCCAAGUUCCAUUGCAUGUAGGGAGACCAUUAAGAUGUUUUCCCACCAAAGUCUUCGCCAUCACAGCUUGAUCUGGGUAAUCGGUUGCCUGAAAAGCCAGCUAACAAGGUUGGAAAUUUUGUGCCAAAUUACUAUAAAAUACAUGCUAGUGCAACAAUAUCACCACACCUGCAAAUUUUUAUCUGUUGUGGUGUCAGCAUAUUCAACAAGGACAUGACAAGCUGCAGCCAUCUGUUAUGGGCACCACCAAUAGGAUUUAUGAACAAUACAAUGUUACUCAACUGAACUGAAGAUGCAAAUUAUUUAACUCACAGUACACAGGUCUGAAUGGCAUUCCAACACCUGAGAUAUCUUUGUUUAGUGGAGCGCACUUAUCUGAAAGCAUGUUAAAAGACAUUACAGGUUCAAGCAUCCACAUGAUUCUGCAAGACCACAGCUAUUACUUAGUACUACUUUAUUAGUUGAGAGCAACAACAGAAAAAUGUGGCAUGCCAACAAAUGAAUUUAUGAAUAAAAUAUUCUUCCCACCUCCAUGUCAAAUAUACUAAAUAAAAAAAUCAGUAUAGUCGGAGAGAUAACCAACAGAUAGUUAUACAUGGCGGCAUCCUACAAUGAGAACAGCUCAGUGCUCAUAUUUGGAGUAAAUUUAAUCAAAAGCUACCAGGCACAUAUCUCUUUUGUUACAGAUUUCAGAUACCAAAUUCCAUUAUAUUGGUCAAGAUAAAAUUGUUGUAGAAAAAACUGCUGACAAUGGGCUAUUUGCCAUAUAAAGCAGAUUUAGAAAAAAAAAUGACAGAAGAUGUAAGGUUUGAUAAAAAAAAUUUAAAAGCAUUUAAUCCAACACAUUCCGUGGCAAAAAAGGUACACAUUUCAUGCCUAUCAAUCUCCAAGUUCAAUUGAAUGAAGGUUGCAAUCAUAGGAGAAACUCAAAAUUCAAGUUCACUAUAUGUAGAACUCUAUGCAUGAGCAGAUAAAGCCAGUACAUGCCUCACGCUACACUAGGAAUCCGGCACAACUUCUGGUAGGUGAAUUUGCCACAACAAACUGAACAAUUGGCUACAUUAAGUUAAAUGGAAAUCUUGGCUCCUCGUGGGGAAAUUUCAUGAGCAUUUUGCGCACUAAUAAAAGUCAAGGCAUGAUUUGUAAACUAUUUUAGGUGUCAUGGAAAGUCCAUGGGAGGCACUACAGCUAUCCACCCCAACUACUUAGGGAAGUAGCCAUCAUCGUAUACUAGCCAUUUAUGGCUUGGUUAUACGUCGAAAUUUACUACAGGGAAGCAAAGGAUGGGAUAUACUAUGUAAACAGCUAUGGUUAGCACAAAGGAAGUGCUUCAUUUCUGCACAUUCUUCCUCCAUAUGGCACAUAGAAAGAAUGAAUUCUGAAGCAGAACUACUAGAAUAGUGACAGCCCUAGUUGAAGAAAUCCACCUGCGCUAGCCAGCACACAAGGACAAUAAAUCCAAUUACUAUACAAUUUUCCUACUGACAAAUAAUUGGUUGAUAUAAAACUACUGAAAGUGUAAUAAAGUAAUCAGGUAAAGCAUGACUUUGACUAAGGAACAACAAAAAAUUCAUAAGGUGAGCCAUCACUAAGAUAUGAGAUCUCACCUCACAUGCCUACAGCUGUGCUUUGUGCUUCCCAAGGAGAGCCAUGACCAUGAGCACGAAAUAGGAAGUCCUAGACAGGCGGAGGUGCAGCAGAAUUGUUCCUUGUCCUCAGGCUAUGCACAAUUGAGGGGGUGAACUGAGAGCGGAGAAAGUAUUGAAUAAAUAAACAAUCAAACAAUUGUAUUUUGGAAAAAAAAACAAAUACGAAACUUGGGUAUGGUUCACAUAACAAAUGAUUGUUUACAUAGUGUAAUUGUUAAUGCCCUCAGAUCUGAUCGAGGCAGAUACUAAACAUGGAUAUAGCUCACCUACUGCAGCUCUCAUCGUCUACAGGGGCCACUUGCAUCGAGGCAGCUUUAGCCGGCGGCGGCCAUGGCCCGUCUCGUUGAACUCGCCGCGUGCGCCAGCGAAGGUGGGCGGACAGAAAACCUGAAAUUGCACCCCAAUCUCGAAGGAGAAUGAGUGGAUUCGUUCAUAGGAAGCAGAAGAGGCUGCAGGUAAGAUAUCUUGCACGAAAAAUAAUUGAAUCUGUAAAUUUGAUUAGGGAUGGAGGCAUGCAGUUGGGACUAACCUAGAGCGUCGUUCGUAUAGGUGGAUGUGCUUGGGACGCAGAGGUCGACACCUGGGGAAGCUCCAGCUGCACAUCGGGUGGAGAAAGGGGGCACCGCCGUGCCGGGCUGGAUCCGCCCACCCAGAUCGUCGUCCCCGUCACUCACCCCCAUGCGCCCGUAGUCUGUCCCGUCGUCUACCUGAGUGAGCUCUGCUGGGCCACCAUUCGCGCCGCCUGAGGUGCUCACCGCCGUGCAUAGGAAGGGAUAGGGCCGCCAUAGAUCCGGGCCGAACCAACACGAGGGCGGCUGCCUUGGAUCUGCACGGCGAGGUGAGGAUGACGCCGAGGCUGGAACUGGGAGGAGGAGGGAGGGGCAGCCAUCGCGCCACCGCCGUCGAGAGCAGAAACGGGAUUGGAGGAGGCAACCGGCGAUGAAAUCAGAAGCUCGCUAAAAAGAAGGCCUCUCGGUCCAUGUGGCUAUUGGCGGCAGUUUCGG